ACGGAGGGUGCGAGCGUUUAUCGGAAUUACUGGGCGUAAAGCGCGCGUAGGCGGCUUGUUAAGUCGGAUGUGAAAUCCCCGGGCUCAACCUGGGAAUUGCAUCCGAUACUGGCGAGCUGGAGUGCGAUAGAGGGGGGUAGAAUUCCUAGUGUAGCGGUGAAAUGCGUAGAUAUUAGGAGGAAUACCGGUGGCGAAGGCGGCCCCCUGGAUCGACACUGACGCUGAGGUGCGAAAGCGUGGGUAGCAAACAGGA
rnacentral:rRNA from 1 species